GAUGAACGCUGGCGGCGUGCCUAAUACAUGCAAGUCGAGCGAACAGACGAGGAGCUUGCUCCUCUGACGUUAGCGGCGGACGGGUGAGUAACACGUGGAUAACCUACCUAUAAGACUGGGAUAACUUCGGGAAACCGGAGCUAAUACCGGAUAAUAUAUUGAACCGCAUGGUUCAAUAGUGAAAGACGGUUUUGCUGUCACUUAUAGAUGGAUCCGCGCCGCAUUAGCUAGUUGGUAAGGUAACGGCUUACCAAGGCAACGAUGCGUAGCCGACCGGAGAGGGUGAUCGGCCACACUGGAACUGGAACACGGUCCAGACUCCUACGGGAGGCAGCAGUAGGGAAUCUUCCGCAAUGGGCGAAAGCCUGACGGAGCAACGCCGCGUGAGUGAUGAAGGUCUUCGGAUCGUAAAACUCUGUUAUUAGGGAAGAACAAAUGUGUAAGUAACUAUGCACGUCUUGACGGUACCUAAUCAGAAAGCCACGGCUAACUACGUG
rnacentral:rRNA from 1 species